GCUUGAGAUCCACAGAGUUAGAUAGGUUAUCACCUUCUCCCUCUUUCCUCUUCUUUCUUAUCUUGUCUUCAUUCAUGAAGGGAAAAGAGCAGCAACUCCCUAUCACGGCCGCCGCCGCCGCCGCCAUUUCGUCAACCUGCAAAGCUCCAACCGAGGUGCUCAACUUGGCAACCAUGAAAGCUCUGUCCAAGCUCACCGGCUUCCAUGCCGGUUACUUCCGCAUCAGCCUGUCUCUCUGCUGCCAGGCCCUCCUCUGGAAGACCCUCAGCGAGCCGAGCACCGACUCCCACGCUCUCCGCACGGUGAUCCACAUGCUCCCCUCCGCCACGUACGUCCUCCUUUGGUCCGUCGCGCUCCUCAUCCUCGCCACGCUUUCCGUGCUCUAUGGCCUCCGCUGCCUUUUCAGGUUCCGCAGCGUGCAGGCGGAGUUCUCUCACCACGUCGGCGUGAACUACCUCUUCACGCCAUGGAUCUCGUGGCUCCUCCUGCUCCAGUCCGUCCCCUUCCUCCACCCGGGCGCCGCCUUGUACCGUGUGCUUUGGUGGGUGUUCGCCGUCCCCAUCCUCAUGCUCGACGUGAAGAUCUACGGCCAAUGUUUCACCAAGGGGAGGAGGUUCCUGUCGAUGGUGGCAAACCCGACGAGCCAGAUCACGGUGAUCGGGAACCUGGUCGGGUCGCGAGCGGCGGCGAGGAUGGGGUGUGAGGAGAUCGCGACGUUCAUGUUCUCCCUCGGCAUGGCGCACUACCUCGUGCUGUUCGUGACUCUGUACCAGCGCUUCGUCGGGAGCAGCAGCCUCCCAUCGAUUCUUCGCCCCGUCUUCUUCCUGUUCAUCGCCGCCCCCAGCAUGGCCAGCUUGGCCUGGGAUUCCAUCUCCGGAUCGUUCGACACGGGCUCGAAGAUGCUCUUCUUCCUCUCCCUCUUCCUAUUUGCCUCCCUGGUAAUCACCCCAUCACUUCUUCUCAUGCAUGGCUCUUCUUUGUCGACGGUGAAGGCAUGGAAAUGGGAGAGAAAUCUUCAUAGGACACGGAUCAAAACUGUCGUUAUCAACCAAAAGAACAUUGGAUCUAGAGUUCUGAUUUGACGCGGUUGCUCGAAUCAACCAUCAAUGGGGACAAACAAACACUUGAUGCCUUGCCGAGAUAUCUCAAAUGACUUCCUGGAAUCCGGCAUCAUCAACUUUAGACGAGUUAUGCGACUUCAACACGUUCAUUAGUUUAUUCCCUUCGUGACUGAUUUGAUCCACCGAAAAGGAAAAGCGCGACCUAAAGUCAAAAAGUAAAAGCUUGACGCUAAAGCGGGUGCAGAAGACGCAAAGUUGCGUCGCAUACACGUUAGCAGAUAGCGUUGGCAAUAAAGAACGGAAAGAUGGUUUCAAGGCCGGCGCUGUUCAAGCGGUCGAUGAGGCGGUUCAACGUGGCA